rnacentral:antisense_RNA from 1 species
CGUUAUGGCGGCCGUACGUGGGCGGGCUUUCGCCUGGCCGAGUCUUUGCCAAUUUCUCCUCGGUUUUCUCACCCCACGUAUGGCUGCCACCCUU